GGUUCUUAAGGGGCUGGUCUCGCUGGCUGAAUAAAGACAAUUGAAUGGCCGCGGCAACACUGACCGUGAUAAUGUAGCGUAAUCAAUAGUCAAUUAAUUGUUGACCGGUAUGAAUGGCACCACGAGGGCCUCACUAUCUAAAAAGAACCCCUAGUGAAAUUGAAUUAGCAGUGAAAAUGCUGCACCCAAAUUGUUAGACGAGAAGUCCCCAGGAGCUUUACUGGAGGCGUAUGCCGUAGAUGAAGAUAGAGGGCGGGGGGCCGUGCUUUAUCUUUGGCCGGUUGUACGAAGGACAGUUUAGUUGGGGCGAUAGCCUUUUAAAAAGUAACGAGGGCGAACUAAAGAUAAGAGUUUGACUGUGAGGGCAAUGGGCUCAAACAGACAUGGGAGUGGGUUUUUGUGACCCGUCGGCGGGGGUGGAAAGGCCAAGAUAAGCAGAUAAAAGUUACCUGGGAU
rnacentral:rRNA from 1 species